rnacentral:rRNA from 1 species
GCCGCCGCGGUAAUACGGAGGGUGCGAGCGUUAAUCGGAAUUACUGGGCGUAAAGCGCAUGCAGGUGGUUUGUUAAGUCAGAUGUGAAAGCCCGGGACUCAACCUCGGAACUGCAUUUGAAACUGGCAAACUAGAGUACUGUAGAGGGGGGUAGAAUUUCAGGUGUAGCGGUGAAAUGCGUAGAGAUCUGAAGGAAUACCAGUGGCGAAGGCGGCCCCCUGGACAGAUACUGACACUCAGAUGCGAAAGCGUGGGGAGCAAACAGGAUUAGAUACCCUGGUAGUCCACGCCGUAAACGAUGUCUACUUGGAGGUUGUGGCCUUGAGCCGUGGCCUUCGGAGCUAACGCGUUAAGUAGACCGCCUGGGGAGUACGGUCGCAAGAUUAAAACUCAAAUGAAUUGACGGGGGCCCGCACAAGCGGUGGAGCAUGUGGUUUAAUUCGAUGCAACGCGAAGAACCUUACCUACUCUUGACAUCCAGAGAACUUUCCAGAGAUGGAUUGGUGCCUUCGGGAACUCUGAGACAGGUGCUGCAUGGCUGUCGUCAGCUCGUGUUGUGAAAUGUUGGGUUAAGUCCCGCAACGAGCGCAACCCUUAUCCUUGUUUGCCAGCGAGUAAUGUCGGGAACUCCAGGGAGGCUGCCGGUGAUAAACCGGAGGAAGGUGGGGACGACGUCAAGUCAUCAUGGCCCUUACGAGUAGGGCUACACACGUGCUACAAUGGCGCAUACAGAGGGCAGCCAACUCGCGAGAGUGAGCGAAUCCCAAAAAGUGCGUCGUAGUCCGGAUUGGAGUCUGCAACUCGACUCCAUGAAGUCGGAAUCGCUAGUAAUCGUAGAUCAGAAUGCUACGGUGAAUACGUUCCCGGGCCUUGUACACACCGCCCG